UACAGAGGUCUCAAGCGUUGUUCGGAUUCAUUGGGCGUAAAGGGUGCGUAGGCGGCGCGGUAAGUCGGGUGUGAAAUCUUGGAGCUUAACUCCGAAACUGCAUUCGAUACUGCCGUGCUUGAGGACUGGAGAGGAGACUGGAAUUUACGGUGUAGCGGUGAAAUGCGUAGAUAUAGGAAGGAACACCAGUGGCGAAGGCGACCACCUGGACUGAUACUGACACUGAGGUGCGAAAGCGUGGGGAGCAAACAGG
rnacentral:rRNA from 1 species